UACUACAAAGCCACUCCGGUAUACCGGUA
rnacentral:sRNA from 1 species